GCGCAGCUUACACAUGCAAGUCGAGCGGUAACAGGGGGUGCUUGCACCCCGCUGACGAGCGGCGGACGGGUGAGUAAUGCAUAGGAAUCUGCCCAGUAGUGGGGGAUAGCCCGGGGAAACCCGGAUUAAUACCGCAUACGCCCUUUGGGGGAAAGCAGGGGAUCUUCGGACCUUGCGCUAUUGGAUGAGCCUAUGUCGGAUUAGCUAGUUGGUGGGGUAAAGGCCUACCAAGGCGACGAUCCGUAGCUGGUCUGAGAGGAUGAUCAGCCACAUCGGGACUGAGACACGGCCCGAACUCCUACGGGAGGCAGCAGUGGGGAAUAUUGGACAAUGGGGGCAACCCUGAUCCAGCCAUGCCGCGUGUGUGAAGAAGGCUUUCGGGUUGUAAAGCACUUUCAGUGAGGAGGAAAACCUUCUGGUUAAUACCCAUGAGGCUUGACGUUACUCACAGAAGAAGCACCGGCUAACUCCGUGCCAGCAGCCGCGGUAAUACGGAGGGUGCAAGCGUUAAUCGGAAUUACUGGGCGUAAAGCGCGCGUAGGUGGUUUGAUAAGCGAGAUGUGAAAGCCCCGGGCUUAACCUGGGAACGGCAUUUCGAAC
rnacentral:rRNA from 1 species